ensembl:lncRNA
GAUCUUAGAGAAAAGCUUUCAUCUUUUCACUGUUGAAUAUGAUGUUAACUGUGGGUUUGUCAUAAAUAACUUUUAUUAUGUUGAGGUACGUCCCCUCUGUACCCACUUUGUUGGGUUUUUAUCAUUAAUAGAUGUUGAAUUUUUUUUUCUGCGUUGAGAUGAUUAUUUGAUUUGAUUUUUUAUCUUUCAAAAAUGUGGUACCUGCUGCAGAUGGAAGUUCCCAGGCUAGGGGUCAAAUCUGAGCUACAGCUGCUGGCCUAUACCACAGCCACAGCAGUGUGGCAUCUGAGCUAUAUCUGUGACCCACACCACAGCUCAUGGCAACACCAUGUGUGCUAGUCGGUGGCUUUUUAAAUUUUUUUGGUACUUCAAAAAAGGUGCUUUAAGGAUUCUGCAGAAAAGCAAGUAUUUUAUAUGUUAGCAUUAUGUUUUGAUUUGAAAACAUAAUACUUUUUACAUGGGAACAUUGUUAUGUUAAUAUUCAAAUGCUUUUUUUCUUUUUUCACUUUUGGCUGCACCCCACAGCAUGCGGAAGUUCCCUCUUGAGCUACAGCAACAACCUGAGCCGCAGUGGUGACAAAACCAGAUUCUUAAUUCCUGUACCACAAGGGAACCCUUUUAAAGUAGCUUACUUUAUUAAGUCCCUUCUUGGUAAAGACUUCCUGAAGAUUUCCAAGUUAGUUCACUUGGGAUGGGCAUUUGAGUGAACCUGCUGCCUACCAAUCUUGUGUGCAUUUGUAUCAUUAGUUUUGAAUUUUGUAUUUUUCAAUGUUAUUUUCUUAUCUGGUUCCUCAUUUAAAAUAUUUUUUUAUUUUUGUGUCUUUUUUGUUUUUAGGGCCACACCUUUGGCGUAUGGAAUUUCUCAGGCUAGGGGUCAAAUAGGAGCUGUAACUGAUGGCCUACGCCACAGCCACACCAGAUCCAAGCCAAGUCUGCAAACUACACCACAGCUCAUGGCAACACCGUAAACUUAACCCACUGAGUGAGGCCAGGGAUCGAACCUGUGUCCUUACAGAUACUAGUCAGAUUCGUUUCCACUGAGCCACAAUGGGAACUCCCCCCAAUUUUUAUUUUUAAUGUCAGUUACAUCCCAUUUGUGAAUAUUUAUAUGUAUGUGUGUAUAUAUAUGUGUGUGUGUCUUGUAUUACUUGGAGUAUGAUUUAGUAUAAAUCUUUGGUCCACGUAGAUAUAUUUUACUAAUCACUCAUUAAUUUACUUUUUUUUGGUGUUCACGCCAAAGGACAAGGUAUUCACCCUCUCCCUUCCCCAAAUACUAAAUAAAUUAGUGACAAUUUAGUUUAAAGGAAAACUUGAUUGACAUUUUUGUGCUCAAUAUUUCUUUCUCCUAGAUCUAUUUUCUCUUUAGUCAAUGACCUUGCUUUUGUUUAUAGCACAGUUACCAAGGAUUCACCUUGGACCUUGAAUUAAUGCUUCAGAAAAAUCUUUCUCCUGAUCCCUUUAGGUCUUUUGAAGAAGCCAAUCCAGUGUGAAUGAAAUAAACUGGAAGCCUAAACUUUUUUGAUAAAGGUUAAAUUAUGUAUUUUCUAUGUCUUUCUGAGAGUAGUUGGGUGCCCAGGAAGGAAUUUUGUCAAACUGGGGAGGAGACGUUUGAAGGCAGUGUUAGUCAUUGAACCGUGUAGUUCAUAGUGUUUCUGUUUUAUAGAGGCUCAAGGAGAAUUUGGAUGAGUUGUUCAUGAUCACAAUAGCCAGAAGCAGAAGGUGAACAUAGUGUUUUGCUCAACUGUAGAACCAUGAGUUUCUCCUCAAAAUCUACCAGUUCCCUGUAUUCUUUUGCUCAUGGCCCCUUCAUAUGCCUAUUGAAUUUGAGCUAUUCAAAAUUUCAGGCAUGGGUAGAAUAAAUUGUUUCAAGUUAAAAAGGGGACAGGGAGUUCCCUCAUGGCAACGCUGGAUCCUUAACCCACUCAGCGAGGCCAGGGAUCAAACCCACAACUUCAUGGUUCCUAGUCGGAUUCGUUGAACACUGAGCCACGAUGGGAACUCCACCUUUUCCUUUUUAAAGUCUCUGACUUGGGGAUCAUAUUACCUUCCUUUGAACUUUCAAUCAGUUGAAAUCUGGUUAUUUUCCUUCCAUUAAUUCAUUUCUUUUCCAAAGAGAAAUUUUGCUUUAAACACUUUGUUUCCAUGAGUUCCCUCAUGGCCUAGGAGUUAAGAAUUUGAUGUUGUCACUGCUGCAGCUCAGUUUAGAUCCAUGGCUUUGGCAAAUUCCACAUGCUGUGGGCAGGGCCAAAAAAAGAAUUUCUUUCCAAUCUAUUAAGACACUCAAUUAGGAAUUCUUUUUUAAAUUUUUUUAUAUAAUUUUUAUUUUUUUUCAUUAUAGCUGGUUUACAGUGUUCUGUCAAUUUUCUGAUGUACAACAUGGUGACCCAGUUACACAUACAUGUAUAGAUUCUUUUUUCUCACAUUAUCAUGCUCUAUCUUAAGUGACUAGAUAUAGUUCCCAGUGCUACACAGUAGGAUCUCAUUGCUUAUCCAUUCCAAAAAAAUACAGAACGCUUCACAAAUUUGCAUGCCAUUCUUGCGCAGGGGCCAUGCUAAUCUUCUUGUAUCGUUCCAAUUUUAGUAUAUGUGUUACCGAAACGAGCAUGAUUAUUUUUAAUAUUUUAGUGGAGUUAGGAAUCUAGGGCACAUGAUUUACUACCAUAUUUUCUAUGUAAUAUCGAGACCCUUAAUAUUAAGAAUAUCCAACUUUGGAGUUCCCAUCGUGGCGCAGUGGUUAACGAAUCUGACUAGGAACCAUGAGGUUGCGGGUUUGAUCCCUGCUCUUGCUCAGUGGGUUAAGGAUCCAGCGUUGCUGUGGCUCUGGCGGAGGCUGGCAGCUACAGCUCUGAUUAGACCCCUAGCCUGGGAACCUCCUUAUGCUGCAGGAGCGGCCCAAGAAAUGGCAAAAGGACAAAAAAAUAAAGUAAGAAUAUCCAACUUUAUUGUUAUUAUCAGAUGCCAAUUUAUCUGUUUUGAUUUUGUCUGAUAUACAUUUUUCCCCCUUUUUAAAUAUUUUUUUAAUUUAUUUUUUCCCACUUUACAGGAAGGGGAUCAAGUUAUCCUUACCUGUAUACAUUUUUUCCCCCACCCUUUGCUCUGUUGCAAUAUGAGUAUCUAGACAUAGUUCUCAGUGCUUCUCAGCAGAAUCUCCUCGUAAAUCUAUUCUAAGUUGUGUCUGAUAACCCCAAGCUCCCAAUCCCUCCCACUCCUUCCAUCUCCCAUCAGGCAGCCACAAGUCUGUUUUCCAAGUCCAUGAUUUUCUUUUCUGGGGAGAUGUUCAUUUGUGCUGGAUAUUAGAUUCCAGAUAUAAGUGAUACAUAUGGUAUUUGUCUUUGUCUUUCUGACUCAUUUCACUCAGUAUGAGAUUCUCUCGUUCCAUCCAUGUUGCCGCAAAUGGCAUUAUGGCAUUCUUUUUUAUGGCUGAGUAGUAUUCCAUUGUGUAUAUAUACCAAAUCUUCCUAAUCCAAUCAUCUGUUGAUGGACAUUGGGUUGUUUCCAAGUCCUGGCUAUUGUGAAUAGUGCUGCAAUGAACAUGCGGGUGCAUGUGUCUCUUUUAAGUAGAGUUUUGUCUGGAAAUAUGCCCAAGAGUGGGAUUGCGGGGUCAUAUGGAAGUUCUGUGUAUAGAUUUCUAAGGUAUUUCGGAAUUCUUUUCAAUUGUAUUCUAAUAAUCUGAUAACCUGCUUUAGGAGAUUUUUAUUACCAACAAUAUGAAAUAUUUUCACUGUUUUCUAAUAUUGAAUCUCUAAAUCUGUUUGUAUCUUUUGCUUCUGUAAUAAAAUUGCCAGUUUUGCUUCUUUGGUUAAACCUUUAGCAGAGAUUUGAACAUAGGAAGAUUUACCUUAUCAACUUUCUUCCACCGUAAAAAUGGAGACAGUCAUCUUUUUUAUAGGAAAAAAUGAUUCAUAAGUAGAGAUACUUGAUAAACUUAGAACUUGAGUGUUAUUUUUGAAAACUAUAUGUACUGUUCUUUUGAUAUAUAGCAGUUUCUUCAGACAUGGAUAGAACAAAUUCCUUAGCCUGGAAAUCAAUACAGUUUUCCACUAGUCUCCAUUUUACACUCUACAACCUAAUUUUAGUCAAUUGUUUGAAAUUCUUUCCACAUACUCUGCACUUAUUCUCGUGUCUUUUCUUUUUAGUGCCUCUGCUUUGAAUGCCUUUACCAUACCUUUUUUUUUGCUGGAAUUUUAUUCACUUUUAAAGCUACAGCUCAACAAUGUGAGUUGAAUAGCUAUGUUAGAUAUGUUUUGCUUGUGGUAUAUACAUGAACGAAACAGACAAAAAUCUGUGCCUUCAUGAAGCUUAUAUUCUGCUUGAUCCCCAAGCAGAAUUUACUUCUUUUUUUUUUUUGCUUUUUAGGGCCAAGCCCACAGCAUAUGGAUAUUCCCAGGCUCGGAGUCCGAUCAGAGCUACAUGUGCCGGCCUAUACCACAGCCACAGCAACAUCAAAUCUGAGCCGAGUCUUUGACCUGCACCAUAGCUCAUGGCAGUGCUGGAUCCUUAAUCCACUGAGCGAGGCCAGGGAUUGAACCCACAACCUCAUGGUUCCUAGUAGGAUUUGUUCUGCUGUGCCAUGACAGGAACUCUAGAAUUUACUGCUUCUACAGUAGUUUGUUUAAACCUCUAUCAGAGCAUUACAAUUAAAUUGUUUAAAUCUCUUUCUCAAUUAGUUGUCAACACUACCUGCUCAACAGAAUCACCCGGGAAAUUUUGGAAAAACAAUACCUUAGGUCCCAUCUCCCGAGAUUUUGAUUUAUUAACAUGAUUCUACCAUGUAGCCAAGGUUAAGAACCACUGCACCGGGACCAACUAUGAAAUUUUGAGGGUUGUGGUUCACAACCACAAAAUACAUGCCUGGUAUUGCCUUACACCUAACACAUGGGGGCAAUCAAUAACUAUUUGUUGACCUUUUUUUGUGGAAGCAGUAAGAAAUGAUCCUGGCCCUUCCUUAACUGAGCUAUUAAGACAUUGAGAUGGAUAGUCUCCAAAGGGCCUUUGAGAAAUUGGGUUCAUGACAGGUAAUUAUUAAGAUGCAUAAUCCGGAGUUCCCAUCGUGGCGCAGUGGUUAACGAAUCUGACUAGAAACCAUGAGGUUGCGGGUUCGGUCCCUGCCCUUGCUCAGUGGGUUAACAAUCCGGCGUUACCGUGAGCUGUGGUGUAGGUUGCA